GUGGGGAAUUUUGCGCAAUGGGCGAAAGCCUGACGCAGCAACGCCGCGUGUGUGACGAAGGCCCUAGGGUUGUAAAGCACUGUGGGAGGGGAAGAAAAAACGGGGGUUGUACCCCGUCUUGACGGUACCCUGUUAGAAAGCACCGGCUAACUCCGUGCCAGCAGCCGCGGUAAUACGGAGGGUGCAAGCGUUGUUCGGAAUUAUUGGGCGUAAAGGGCGUGUAGGUGGCAGUCCAAGUCUGGUGUGAAAGCCCACGGCUCAACCGUGGAACUGCAUUGGAAACUGGGCAGCUCGAGUGUUGGAGGGGGUCGCGGAAUUCCCGGUGUAGAGGUGAAAUUCGUAGAUAUCGGGAGGAACACCAGUGGCGAAGGCGGCGACCUGGCCAAUCACUGACACUGAGACGCGAAAGCGUGGGGAGCAAACAGGAUUAGAAACCCUGGUAGUCC
rnacentral:rRNA from 1 species